rnacentral:rRNA from 1 species
GACGUAGGGCGCGAGCGUUGUCCGGAUUUAUUGGGCGUAAAGAGCUCGUAGGCGGCUUGUUGCGUCGACUGUGAAAACCCGCGGCUUAACCGCGGGCUUGCAGUUGAUACGGGCAGGCUAGAGUUCGGUAGGGGAGACUGGAAUUUCCGGUGUAGCGGUGAAAUGCGUAGAGAUCGGAAAGAACACCAGUGGCGAAGGCGGCGACCUGGUACCAGACUGACACUGAGGUGCGAAAGCGUGGGGAGCAAACAGG